rnacentral:rRNA from 1 species
AGAGUUUGAUCCUGGCUCAGGAUGAACGCUGGCGGCGUGCCUAAUACAUGCAAGUCGAGCGAACGGACGAGAAGCUUGCUUCUCUGAUGUUAGCGGCGGACGGGUGAGUAACACGUGGAUAACCUACCUAUAAGACUGGGAUAACUUCGGGAAACCGGAGCUAAUACCGGAUAAUAUUUUGAACCGCAUGGUUCAAAAGUGAAAGACGGUCUUGCUGUCACUUAUAGAUGGAUCCGCGCUGCAUUAGCUAGUUGGUAAGGUAACGGCUUACCAAGGCAACGAUGCGUAGCCGACCUGAGAGGGUGAUCGGCCACACUGGAACUGAGACACGGUCCAGACUCCUACGGGAGGCAGCAGUAGGGAAUCUUCCGCAAUGGGCGAAAGCCUGACGGAGCAACGCCGCGUGAGUGAUGAAGGUCUUCGGAUCGUAAAACUCUGUUAUUAGGGAAGAACAUAUGUGUAAGUAACUGUGCACAUCUUGACGGUACCUAAUCAGAAAGCCACGGCUAACUACGUGCCAGCAGCCGCGGUAAUACGUAGGUGGCAAGCGUUAUCCGGAAUUAUUGGGCGUAAAGCGCGCGUAGGCGGUUUUUUAAGUCUGAUGUGAAAGCCCACGGCUCAACCGUGGAGGGUCAUUGGAAACUGGAAAACUUGAGUGCAGAAGAGGAAAGUGGAAUUCCAUGUGUAGCGGUGAAAUGCGCAGAGAUAUGGAGGAACACCAGUGGCGAAGGCGACUUUCUGGUCUGUAACUGACGCUGAUGUGCGAAAGCGUGGGGAUCAAACAGGAUUAGAUACCCUGGUAGUCCACGCCGUAAACGAUGAGUGCUAAGUGUUAGGGGGUUUCCGCCCCUUAGUGCUGCAGCUAACGCAUUAAGCACUCCGCCUGGGGAGUACGACCGCAAGGUUGAAACUCAAAGGAAUUGACGGGGACCCGCACAAGCGGUGGAGCAUGUGGUUUAAUUCGAAGCAACGCGAAGAACCUUACCAAAUCUUGACAUCCUCUGACCCCUCUAGAGAUAGAGUUUUCCCCUUCGGGGGACAGAGUGACAGGUGGUGCAUGGUUGUCGUCAGCUCGUGUCGUGAGAUGUUGGGUUAAGUCCCGCAACGAGCGCAACCCUUAAGCUUAGUUGCCAUCAUUAAGUUGGGCACUCUAAGUUGACUGCCGGUGACAAACCGGAGGAAGGUGGGGAUGACGUCAAAUCAUCAUGCCCCUUAUGAUUUGGGCUACACACGUGCUACAAUGGACAAUACAAAGGGCAGCGAAACCGCGAGGUCAAGCAAAUCCCAUAAAGUUGUUCUCAGUUCGGAUUGUAGUCUGCAACUCGACUACAUGAAGCUGGAAUCGCUAGUAAUCGUAGAUCAGCAUGCUACGGUGAAUACGUUCCCGGGUCUUGUACACACCGCCCGUCACACCACGAGAGUUUGUAACACCCGAAGCCGGUGGAGUAACCUUUUAGGAGCUAGCCGUCGAAGGUGGGACAAAUGAUUGGGGUGAAGUCGUAACAAGGUAGCCGUAUCGGAAGGUGCGGCUG